AGUGAACGCUGCGGUAGGCCUAACACAUGCAAGUCGGACGGCAGCACAGUAAGAGCUUGCUCUUACGGGUGGCGAGUGGCGGACGGGUGAGGAAUACAUCGGAAUCUACUUUUUCGUGGGGGAUCACGUAGGGAAACUUACGCUAAUACCGCAUACGAUCUACGGGCGAAAGUAAGGGAUCUUCGGACCUUGCGCGAUUGAAUGAGCCGAUGUCGGAUUAGCUAGUUGGCGGGGUAAAGGCCCACCAAGGCGACGAUCCGUAGCUGUUCUGAGAGGAUGAUCAGCCACACUGGAACUGAGACACGGUCCAGACUCCUACGGGAGGCAGCAGUGGGGAAUAUUGGACAAUGGGCGCAAGCCUGAUCCAGCCAUACCGCGUGGGUGAAGAAGGCCUUCGGGUUGUAAAGCCCUUUUGUUGGGAAAGAAAAGCAGCAGGUUAAUACCCCGCUGUUCUGACGGUACCCAAAGAAUAAGCACCGGCUAACUUCGUG
rnacentral:rRNA from 1 species